CAGCCGUAAACUAUGCUCACUAGGUGUCAGGCAUGGCGCGACCGUGUCUGGUGCCGCAGGGAAGCCGUGAAGCGAGCCACCUGGGAAGUACGGCCGCAAGGCUGAAACUUAAAGGAAUUGGCGGGGGAGCACAACAACGGGUGGAGCCUGCGGUUUAAUUGGACUCAACGCCGGACAACUCACCGGGGACGACAGCAAUAUGUAGGCCAGGCUGAAGACCUUGCCUGAAUCGCUGAGAGGAGGUGCAUGGCGUAGUCGUGU
rnacentral:rRNA from 1 species